AUCCCAGAGGGUAGACUCAUACCCUUGAAGACCCUUUCUGUGAGCUUCUGAAAGUGCCUUGCAGUUUCUUGCUACAGUAUGCAUUCCAAAAUUCUCUGUUAACUGAAGGCACAGAUGAAUGCAUAAAUGAAUUAAUGAAUGAUUGUCAUUCAUUCAGCAGUGGGUUUCAAACACUGCUGUAUAUCAGGAAUCAGGAAAACGUAUAUUAAAGCUUCACAAGAGACCUCUGACUACCCAUGAGACAGCGAAAAUUGAAAGCAAGUGUUG